rnacentral:rRNA from 1 species
AUCGCCUACGGGAGGCAGCAGUGGGGAAUAUUGCACAAUGGGGGGGACCCUGAUGCAGCGACGCCGCGUGAAGGAAGAAGUAUCUCGGUAUGUAAACUUCUAUCAGCAGGGAAGAAAGAGGACGGUACCUGACUAAGAAGCCCCGGCUAACUACGUGCCAGCAGCCGCGGUAAUACGUAGGGGGCAAGCGUUAUCCGGAUUUACUGGGUGUAAAGGGAGCGUAGACGGCUGUGCAAGUCUGAAGUGAAAUGCCGGGGCCCAACCCCGGAACUGCUUUGGAAACUGUACAGCUAGAGUGCAGGAGG